AGAGCGAACGCUGGCGGCAGGCCUAAUACAUGCAAGUCGAACGGAUCCUUCGGGAUUAGUGGCGGACGGGUGAGUAACACGUGGGAACGUACCCUUUGGUUCGGAACAACUCAGGGAAACUUGAGCUAAUACCGAAUGUGCCCUUCGGGGGAAAGAUUUAUCGCCAUUGGAGCGGCCCGCGUCUGAUUAGCUAGUUGGUAGGGUAAAGGCCUACCAAGGCUACGAUCAGUAGCUGGUCUGAGAGGAUGAUCAGCCACACUGGGACUGAGACACGGCCCAGACUCCUACGGGAGGCAGCAGUAGGGAAUCUUGCGCAAUGGGCGAAAGCCUGACGCAGCCAUGCCGCGUGAAUGAUGAAGGUCUUAGGAUUGUAAAAUUCUUUCAGCGGGGACGAUAAUGACGGUACCCGCAGGAAGAAGCCCCGGCUAACUUCGUGCCAGCAGCCGC
rnacentral:rRNA from 1 species